rnacentral:rRNA from 1 species
UCGGCCAGCCACAGCCCCAAGAAUACGCGGAGGAGGUGGCUCGGGUCGGUGUCGGCGCAGUCCGGCACGGGCCACGGGCCCGUUUCCAAGUGCGUCUGCACGCCGGCCACUCAGGACGGGUCCUUCAAGUGCCGCUUCCACCGCACCAACUCCUAGGGCCACGGCCAGGGAAGCCGCCCUUCUUCGCCCCCUUCACCGGCCGCGGCCAACGCUGUGCCGCGGCACCCGGCCUCGCCGUCCUCGUCCUCCGGCACCGUCACGACCCAGUGA